ACGGCUCAGUAACACGUGGACAACCUACCCUAUGGAGGGGGAUAACCCCGGGAAACUGGGGAUAAUACCCCAUAGAUUAUGGAAGCUGGAAUGCUCUGUAGUUGAAAGGUCCGCCGCCAUAGGAUGGGUCUGCGGCCGAUUAGGUUGUUGUUGGGGUAACGGCCCAACAAGCCUGUAAUCGGUACGGGUUGUGGGAGCAAGAGCCCGGAGAUGGAUUCUGAGACACGAAUCCAGGCCCUACGGGGCGCAGCAGGCGCGAAAACUUUACAAUGCGGGAAACCGUGAUAAGGGAACUCCGAGUGCCCGUAAAAUCGGGCUGUCCAUCUGUUUAAAUAACAGGUGAAGAAAGGGCCGGGCAAGACCGGUGCCAGCCGCCGCGGUAAUACCGGCGGCUCGAGUGGUGGCCACUAUUACUGGGCUUAAAGCGUUCGUAGCUGGUCUGUUAAGUCUCUGGGGAAAUCUACUGGCUUAACCAAUAGACGUUCCAGGGAUACUGGCAGACUAGGGACCGGGAGAGGUGAGAGGUACUCCAGGGGUAGGAGUGAAAUCCUGUAAUCCUUGGGGGACCACCUGUGGCGAAGGCGUCUCACCAGAACGGCUCCGACAGUGAGGGACGAAAGCUGGGGGAGCAAACCGGAUUAGAUACCCGGGUAGUCCCAGCCGUAAACGAUGUGCGUUAGGUGUAUCGAUGACCACGAGUCAUCGAGGUGCCGAAGAGAAAUCGUGAAACGUACCGCCUGGGAAGUACGGUCGCAAGGCUGAAACUUAAAGGAAUUGGCGGGGGAGCAC
rnacentral:rRNA from 1 species